rnacentral:antisense_RNA from 1 species
GCUUUCCCCGAGAAAGGCUGGCCCAGGGAGGCUUCUAGAAACCUUCUCCCUAACUCUUCCAGCCUGAUUUCUCCUUGACCCAAGAAUCGCAGCCUCUCUGGGGGCUGUUGGGAAGGAGCAUGGCUUCCCCCUGGGUUCAGUUCCCCUUCCUUCCCAUGAGGGUCCUCACCUGCUCCAGCAUGUCCUUAGCGAGGUCCUCCUGCUCAUCCAUCUUCAAGAUGGCCUGCCGGAUCUCCUCGUUAGAAAGCUUCAACCUAAGGCAAAACCCCACCUCAAUCCAGGACAGUCCUCAAACCUUCUUCUCCAAAAGGUAUCACCUCUGCCUUCCCUCAUUCCCUAACAGGACUUGGGAAUAUAUUUAAUAGUAUUCCCCCCACACCUCCUCUACAAAGCCUUCGUAGACUAGACUAGUAUGAUUCAGUCCAUAAACUUGAUAAUGAGCAUUUUAGUGUCAAAAUAGAGACGUGAGGGUCUCUGUUCUCUUGAUAAUCCAUCAGAGCUGAUGGGGCAUUUGGGAGUAAAAGAGAUGUCUUCAAUGUAGACCAAAGGGACAGGGCAAAGGGUUCCUGAUCCUUCUCCUCCUCCUCCUCAUGCCUAAAAAAUGCACAGCAUCUCCACAGGAGGACAGGAUUAUCGGCAAGCCACUAAGAGGGCAAUUUCCUGCUGCCUUCAUUCUCAGAACACAGAAUCGCUCUCAGUCUUCUGACAGCGCCUUAGCUCCCACACAGCUGUCCCAAUCAGUCUUGCUGUCUGGGAGAGGGAGAAGCCACACACCCCCAUAGCCCUUCCCUGUCCCCUCCACAUGCACCCCCAUUAGGAACCCUAGGGAUUCAGAACUCUUUCCACCAUCAAGUGGGGGAAACUGAGGCCUGGGGGCUUGUGAGAAGAAAGGGAGGAGGAUGUCUCAGAGGCGGCUGGGGCAGCACUAAGAAUAGUAUGGGAGGUGGUGCCCUCUGACCCUGGCUCAGGCAGGAGGCCCCCCGUACAGAAGCUGUGCUGUUAGUGCAGAUACUGCCCUGUUUGUUCGGCAGCCGCGGGAAAUGCUUAGGGGCUGAGAUCAUGCUGCUCCAUGGCCUGAGCCAAGCGAGGCCCUCCGUGGGCUUAGAGCAACUCAGCUGCCAGACGCUGACCAGGCUGGGCAAGGGCCUCGUGACUGGGCAGUUUCCUGCCUGCAGAGCCCCAAACUGCUGCUCAAGGCAGGUUCCCAGGAGACAGUUCCAGAUCAAUGCCUGCCCUUCCCAGCGGACAGCAGAAAGGCAGGGGCCCGAGACUGCCACCACUCCAUUCUUCCACCCCCUUUGUCCCCCAGGCAUCCAACUCAACCACCUUCUUUUGCACAUACUUGGAAAGAAGGAUGAUGCAGUUUUGGGCCCUCCGGCCAUCAAUGACCGACAGCUCUUUGACCUUGCGGGAAGCCAGGUAGAUGUCCUCAGUGGAGCCCAGCUCUUUCUGCAACCAACAAGUCAAGUGGACAGUUGAGGUGUGUGUUCCCUAAUCCUCCUCUUACCCACCCCGCAAGAGCCACCUCCUACCAAUCCAGGAAUGCUCCUGGUGUGAGGGGAAGGGGGAAGAAAAAGACAGGAGACAGAGGAGGGUGGCUAAUAGCUAACUUUAAGAGAAGGUAUCUGGGACUUUUCCAUAGGCUCCAAUGGGUUGGGGAAGGACACUGAGGAGCCCCUCUACCUAUUUUUUUUUUUCAGAAAUUUUCUUUAGAAAUUAUCCACUCUGGGCAACGAGGGAAGGGGCUAUGCCAGUGGGUCAGGGUAUGACUGAUCCCUGUGGCUUUGGGCAAUGUGACAUAACCUACCAUGUCUCCCACAGAAUCAACUCCCACUCCCACUGCCCAACCCAGAGGCCCUCCUCAGGCUUAUGCUGAGAACCUGGUUGCAAACCCCCCUAGGGAACAGUUGCUGACUCCUAGGGACUUCAGGCACAGCCCAAGAUGCCCAGGGUAGAGAGCAUCCACAAGUUCAGAGGUAUGGAAACUGAGGCAGAACUCUCUCCUCUGAGUCCCAGCAGGCAGAUUCCAGAGAAAUCAUUGAUCCCGCCCCACUCCUUCUCUUGGGCCCCUGGCGAGGUAGACAGGAGGCUGUCUAGUGUGCUGUUCUUCCUCUGGGAGGUCCCUCUUGCACAACUUCAGGGGCCGCCUCGCAUGGUUAUCUUUGUGAAUUGUGUCAUGCCUACCCUGUGUGUCCUUACAGGAAAGGCUCUCCUUUGGCCUGGUGGGUAAGACAGCAGACCUAGAAGCCUUCUCCUCAUUCCAGGAGACAUUGACCUCCACUGCUGCCAGGGGUCUAUUUGAUUACCUCCCUCCGCUACAUUUCUUCUUUCUCUUUGGGGGCCCUCUCCCAUACUACCCUGUAUGAAUGGGGAAUAAGGUAGAAAGUGGAAUGGACAAGUCCUCUCUGUCAGGCCCAGUACAGAGCAGCAGCCCGGGACAGCAGUUAAAAGUUGGAGUGGUCAGAGCCCCGAGAGUAACUCACCUGCUGAGAAGGAUUAGUUAUCAGCUCCUAGGCAGCAGCCACAGCCAACAGAGAAUUAAACAUGCACAACAUUAGCCAAGACAUUUGGGGACCCAGAAAUAGCAUGACAGACACGGGGAUCCCUCAGCAUCUACACUGUCCACUUCAUCCCAGUGAGACCCAUGGUUGUAGACAGGCACCCAUAAGUGGCACUAGACAGGAGCUGCUUCUAGCAGACAUGCACUCACGGAGAAGCCAAACGAAGCGGAGAUCAGGCAGUUCCUCCCAUCUGCCCAGUGCGACCACCACUCCCCAGUCAGGGCAGACCAAACCCCUGAGUUCUCCCACCCCAGGCUUUGCUGCCUGUUCUUCCUUUUCCUCUGCUGAAAACCUGCGGAGAGGGUGGAGGACAUUCCUCCAUCCUGGGAUGAGUUCACCUUUCUAACUAGGGGAGGAGUCACAAAUGAACUCGAUCUGGAAGCUCCAGAAAGUUGUGUUUAUUGAGGCAGAGAAAAGCAAGUGUCCUUGAAUUUGCUCACUGCCCCUCAUCUGUCCUUUGAUGUGCAAGGGGAACUGAAGAGGCACAGCCCGCACCUCUGUUCUCCCUGAUGCUGAUGGAGUGGAAGCUACCAACUCAAAACCUGCAUGGGGCACAGAGAAGACCAUGACUCCCAGGACCUCCCCUGCCCCACAACCGAGAGAAGAGGCAACAAGGUCCAGAAUCCGAAAUACCUGCAUGUCAUCAAUCUCAUUCCAUACGGUGCCAGGGACACGCUCCUAAGAUUCAGGCCCACCCCCAGCUUCCAGCAUCUGCCAGAAGGACUUGAAGCUGUUCAAGGAGGUAUAACUGAGGUCUGGAGCCAGAGAGCGGUAAGUCUGUUCCUAAUAUUCCCUACAUGUUGACACCCACCGCGUCGCCCUGAUGUGCCCACCUUGCAUAAUUCUCAAAUUUAAUUUUCCCACCACUCUGGCCAAGAGCCCAUCAUCUCUAGUCUAGAGUCCUGGGACUUCUGCCCGCUGGAGAUAUCCUUCACAUGCCAGGGAAAGCUUUCUCAAAAGCAUGUUUCGUUAUGUUUCCCCCAUGGUGCACUGCCUUUGGGGUCAGGCGGGCCUAGCUGGCUGACGCUCCCAGCCCUGCCAUUUUGUGGGACUGUGGGAAGACGGAGGGAUGAGAUUUUUCUCCCAUGUCACAUAAAAGGAAACUGAGUCUCCAUGAUGUUUUUUUACCUCACCGAGUUGAUGUGAGAAUUAAGUGAGAUAACAUACUUCAAACAUACAUGGUAGGGCCACUAAUAAUAAUCUAUUUAUUAUAUG